rnacentral:rRNA from 1 species
GAUGAACGCUGGCGGCGUGCCUAACACAUGCAAGUCGAACGGAAAGACCCUGCUCUUGUGGGGUGCUCGUGUGGCGAAGGGGGGAGUAAAACGCGUGUAACCUGCACUUGACUUUGGGAUAACAUCAGGAAAAUGGGGCUAAUAUCGGAUAGGAUAUUCUGCAGCAUGGGGGGGAUUGGAAAGUGUCGGCGGUUGGGGAUGGACUCGCGGCUUAUCAGCUUGAUGGUGGAGUAGUGGCUUACCAAGGCUUUGACGGGUAGCCGGCCUGAGAGGGUGGCCGGCCUCAUUGGGCCUGCGGUACGCAGCAGACUGCUACGGGCGGCAGCAGUCGAGAAUAUUGCAGAGUAGGCGGGAGCCUGUUACGAAGGCCCCGCGUGCGUAAUGCCGGCCUUCUGGUUAAGAACAGCUGUCGCAUGUGACGAAGCGUUAUUGACGGUAAUUAAUAAAGAAGCACCGGCUAACUACGUG